rnacentral:rRNA from 1 species
AUUGAACGCUGGCGGCAGGCUUAACACAUGCAAGUCGAGCGGAGCGAGGGUGCUUGCACCUUAGCUUAGCGGCGGACGGGUGAGUAAUGCUUAGGAAUCUGCCAAUUAGUGGGGGACAACAUCUCGAAAGGGAUGCUAAUACCGCAUACGUCCUACGGGAGAAAGCAGGGGAUCACUUGUGACCUUGUGCUAAUAGAUGAGCCUAAGUCGGAUUAGCUAGUUGGUGGGGUAAAGGCCUACCAAGGCGACGAUCUGUAGCGGGUCUGAGAGGAUGAUCCGCCACACUGGGACUGAGACACGGCCCAGACUCCUACGGGAGGCAGCAGUGGGGAAUAUUGGACAAUGGGGGGAACCCUGAUCCAGCCAUGCCGCGUGUGUGAAGAAGGCCUUAUGGUUGUAAAGCACUUUAAGCGAGGAGGAGGCUCUUUUGGUUAAUACCCAAGAUGAGUGGACGUUACUCGCAGAAUAAGCACCGGCUAACUCUGUGCCAGCCGCCGCCGUAA